rnacentral:lncRNA from 1 species
UGAGUGUUGAAUAUGUUUUUCUUCUUCCUUGCCCUAUUUCUGUUGGUUCCCCAGUCCCCCGCCACCCCUAUUUUAUGGUCUAAAGUGCUAGUGCAAAAAGGGUGUGUUCUUUCAGGUUUAUAGCCUUGACUAAUGGAAUUGCUCUAAAUAACAUUUUGAUCUUGUAAGGUCACACAGAGUGCUAUACCUUUCCUUUAAUGAUUCAGGUCUGGACUAAGCAUUUCCCAGAAUUGAGAUGGUAAUGAAGUCAUUAGUUUCUUCCUACUUGAAGCUCUGGUUAGAAAAGGGAUUUCUAUGGGUAGAGCCUGAGUGGUCCUUUUUUAUGCAGUUCAUACCCAGCUGAGCUAUAACACCUGUUACAUUUUCCCAAGCAGCCUGAGCUGCAGACUUUGCCCAAUCUAUUUGCUCUUCUUAUUCUUCAGCAGCACACGGGACAAAAGCUGAGCAACUGUGUUUUCUAAGGCAGUGCUAAUUGAAAAUUUCUGACCAGUGCAAAUGUUAGGGCCCCUUAUGAGGCCUUCUUGAUGAUUUCCUCGUUGUCUUUCGUGAUAGAAGAAUAAUGCAAAACUCAAACUAAUUAGGAAAAAUGACGUUUCAGUUGUUUUGAACUCGGACAGAGAAGCAGAGGGGUGAAAAACAGAGUGUAAAUGUGAAAAAACCACCACCCCAAUAAUUACAUUGUUAUUCAGUGCUGCAUUAUUCUAACCAAGGAUGGGGAAAUAUAAGUUGGAUUCAUAAUAAAACAGAAAUGAGGAUUAGGGGAAGUAAUAAUUGCUCUGUGUAGAUGUUGGGUACUGGAGUGGCUGAUAAACACAAAAAAGGUCGAACAGUGUGUUAUGUAUUAUAUGCUGCUGUGUACGCGCUGUACAUUUAAAGCACAUGACUUCCUCCAAAGAACUCUGGGAACUGUAGUUUGGUAAGGGUGCCAGGAACUAUAGCUUGAUUAAAUUACAAUUCCUGUGAUUCUUUGGAGGAAGCCAUGUGCUUUAAAUGUAUAGUGUGUAUGAAGCCUUAAUGUCAUACCAAUGAAAGUCAGAACAAUAAUAAUACUAAAACGUAAACAAUCCAGGACUACCAAUGGUCUAUGACCUUCAUGCAGUUGGUCUGCAGCAUCUCUAUAAAAAUGCAAUUAAAAAGCCCACAUUAUCUAGCACAGAGCAUUACAAUCCUGCUUUUCCAUAGGACAUCCCAAUUUUCAUCGGAUAAAUGUUGGAGGGUAUGGAGUUAUGCGAACCCCUGAGCCAAGGAGAUAAGUAACUAUAAAGGUGAAAGUAAAGGACCCCUGGACGGUUAAGUCCAGUCAAAGGCGACUAUGGAGUGCAGCACUCAUUUCACUUCAGACCAAGGGAGCCGGCGUAACUAUAAAACUUUUAGAAGAUAUCUGAAGGCAGUCCUGUAUAGGGAAGUUUUUUUUUUAAUGUUUAAUUCUUUAUUAUGUUUUUAUUUAUGUUGGAAGCCACCUAGAGUGGCUGUGGCAACCCAGUCAGAUGGGCUGGGCAACAACAACAACAGCAACAACAAUUCUGAAAUCUCACAAGAUCUCAUGCUCUGUGAGACUUCAUGAGAAUUCGAGGAGAUCUUGCAAGAUCUUGCUGUACAUCAGCACCAAUGCUGGUGUCGGUGUGGUGGCAAUGCUGAUUGGCCAGAAGUACGGGGGGGGAGAGGUAGGUGGCCUGGCAGCAGUGCCAGCAGUGGGGCAGGUGGUGCGACAGAGUGGGGCGUCACUUCUCAUUUUACCUCACAUGGCAAAAUGGGAUGUGCCACCCCUCGCUCCUGUUGCGACUCACCUUGCAUCAGACCCCAACUCGCAAGGGGGUCUGACCCACCAGUAAAAUACAAAUGACUUAACGCAUUCAUUUCAAUGAGUACAGGUGCCCCUAAUUCUACAUAGGAUUGGGUUGCUAUUUGACUACCGUGGGACCAUAUUUAAUGGGGUUGUAAGCUAAAGGAACAGCUAUUCUGUUUCCAGUUUGCUACUCCUGUUGUUGUUGUUGUCAUCCAUCUGUCUCGGGUGACAAUUGAAGAGUGAGGGCAAAGUCAAACUAUUAAAGGGUUGCUGUUCCUGCUGUGGCUGUAGAGACCAAUACGGGAGAGACGUGUUUUUAUUGCCGUUGGGGCAGAUGAAGGUGUCUGGUUUUGCUGUUUGAGAUGCACCAUGGCUUUUCUUCUGUCUGUGCUCCUGUUUCUUCUCUCUGCGCUCCUGUUGUUUUUAAAAAAAGAAUAUUACAAAUGGGCUCUCCUUCUAAGGGUAAGGUGUAGCUUUUGUUUUGUAACUAAUAUCUCCUCGGCACCUGAAAAAAAAAGUCACUUAUAUCGAGGUUUUGGUGAAAUGAAAAUGUAAUGGAUCAAUUAAUUGAUUUAAAAGGUUGAUGAUCAUCAACUAGAAAUUCUUUAAUAAUUGAUCAACAGUUAUUAAAUUAUUCUUCUUUAAUAACUGAUUCCUAAUAAGAAUAUAGAAAUAUGCAAGGAAUAGGAAAGACUGUCUCCAUAUGUAUCACAGGAAGGAGAGGAUUCUAAGUCACAAUCAGAAAAGGCCAUAUAGAUCAGGCAGAAGGACAGUACUUAGGUAAGUUGCGCACACUUCCUGAAUUCUGUGUAUUUAACCAUUUCCAUUUAACAUCAUUAUUCUGUGUGGAUUUGCUAAAUGUUAAUUUGACAUUAACCUUUUGAAAUUAUCAGGGGCAAGAGAGGUCAGAUCCUUCCAGUAUUUGCCAGGGAUGAUUAUGCAAAUAUACUGACUCUGCUUAUUGUGAGAGUACUGUUUGGCCUGGUGAAUACAAAUGCAAAGAUGGAGAAAUUUAUGACUGAUGAGAUGCAGCGAGUGUGAUUGAAGCAUAUGCUAAUAAAGAAAAGCAGCAUAAAGAAUUUUAGGAGUGCAGAAUUGUACUACUGGAAGGGUCAGGAGAUGCUAACUAGUACAUGCCCCAAAUGGCGGGUCUUGCAAUAUCUAAAACUGUUCCUGGCAUGUGUUUAUUCUAACCUAUUCUAAGGUCUUAUAUACACAUUCAAACAGCCAUGUGGGUGACUGCAUAAAGUACAACUGCAUGGACAAGUUGCUUGCUAAAGGAACUACUGUCAGGAGCUAAGCCUCCACUUGAGUAGGACUCUGGCAGAGACACAUGCCCGACUGGCAUGUUCUCUCCCUCCCGGUUGAUCAUUCGGGAGCUUCAAAAGCUUUCUUCUGCCCGAACAUCACAGUGACCAAUGCCAACAGACAUCGGCACACUUAGGGAGCUGCAGAGUCUUCGCAACUUGCAUAACAGACCUCAGCAACUCAGCAUUUUGGCUAAUCUACUUUAUUUACAUAUUAACACACACGGAGCACUGCAACAUGGCUCCCUCUCUCUCUAGCACCAGAUAGCAAAGAGAAAAAACAAAACAAAGGACAAUAGUCCCACUUCAUGGAACAUAGUAACACAAACAUCCUUU